UUGCUGCCUUCCAUCCUUUAACCUCAUUUUCCUCUCCAUUGAAGCUUCAAGAGUGAAAAACUUUACCAUAGCACUGUAGCGGUGACGAUCAAACCGGGGAGGAGCUCUUCAACUUGUCAUCAACCUAGAGGUAUUUGCUAAAGGACCACCGUGAGGCAUUUAUUUGGAUCUCAAUUGGGAUUGGACUAUUAUCAAAUCAAGAGCAGUAGAUCCAGGGAUCUUAGAAGGCUUCUAAUAGAUGUCUUCUUUGGAGUUAUGUCUUAUGGCUUAUGUUGUUGUAUCAGUUGUAUUAUUGUUUAAGAACUUCCUUAUAGGUCAUGCUAUAUUUCAUCUGCAUUGUAUUCGAGUUUGGUUGUAAACCUUAAGCUGUACUCUUAUAUGACAUUUCUGUCAGUUUAUUUUCUACUCCUA